rnacentral:rRNA from 1 species
GAUGAACGCUAGCUACAGGCUUAACACAUGCAAGUUGAGGGGCAGCAUGAAAGGAACUUCGGUUCUUUUUGAUGGCGACCGGCGCACGGGUGCGUAACGCGUAUCGAACCUGCCUCAUACUCGGGGAUAGCCUUGCGAAAGUAAGAUUAAUACCCGGCGGUCUCGGAUGGCCGCAUGACUGUCCGAGUGAAGAUUUAUCGGUAUGAGAUGGCGAUGCGUCCCAUUAGCUUGUUGGUGAGGUAACGGCUCACCAAGGCAUCGAUGGGUAGGGGUUCUGAGAGGAAGGUCCCCCACAUUGGAACUGAGACACGGUCCAAACUCCUACGGGAGGCAGCAGUGAGGAAUAUUGGUCAAUGGGCGAGAGCCUGAACCAGCCAAGUAGCGUGAAGGAUGACGGCCCUACGGGUUGUAAACUUCUUUUGUGCGGGAAUAAAGGAACCUACGCGUAGGUUUUUGCAUGUACCGUAACGAAUAAGCAUCGGCUAACUCCGUGCCAGCAGCCGCGGUAAUACGGAGGAUGCGAGCGUUAUUCGGAUUUAUUGGGUUUAAAGGGAGCGUAGACGGGUUUUUAAGUCAGCUGUGAAAGUUUGGGGCUCAACCUUAAAAUUGCAGUUGAAACUGGAGACCUUGAGUACGGUUGAGGCAGGCGGAAUUCGUGGUGUAGCGGUGAAAUGCUUAGAUAUCACGAAGAACCCCGAUUGCGAAGGCAGCCUGCUAAGCCGCCACUGACGUUGAGGCUCGAAAGUGCGGGUAUCAAACAGG